AUGCUUAACUGCUGCUCGGGCUGGAGCACCAGGAGCUGCUGGAGCACUCUGCUGGGAUUCGGCCCCCUGGGAGUCAAACACAAACAGGUCUCAGAGAGAAGAUAGUGUGCUCGGUGUUGGACAACAGAGCCGAGGCCUGCAUCCUUCCUUCGAACGCCGAACGCGUUCCCCGCCUCAUGCAGUACAUCGAACGAGGGCCUCGUGUAGUUUAAGAGCAGCCAGACUGCUCAAUCUCCCCAACUGGAAGAAAUUUUCCAAUUACAGUACCUCUCUGGAA